AUAUCUCGAUAAUAAACUUCAUUAAAAUUAGCUGCAACCAAUAAAAAGUGAUAAGGUAAAUAUUCUAAAAACUGUGGCCUUCUAAAUUGCGAGAUUUUAUGGAGUUGUUGGCCAGUAUGGGCAUUAAAUAUUU
rnacentral:sRNA from 15 species